AGCGCAGGUGGUUGUAUAAGUCUGAAGUAAAAGGCAGUGGCUCAACCAUUGUGUGCUUUGGAAACUGUACAACUUGAGUGCAGAAGGGGAGAGUGGAAUUCCAUGUGUAGCGGUGAAAUGCGUAGAUAUAUGGAGGAACAUCGGUGGCGAAAGCGGCUCUCUGGGCCGCUACUGACGCUGAGGAGCGAAAGCAUGGGGAGCGAACA
rnacentral:rRNA from 1 species